UACGAAGGGGGCUAGCGUUGCUCGGAAUCACUGGGCGUAAAGCGCGCGCAGGCGGUCCUUUAAGUCUGAUGUGAAAGCCCACGGCUCAACCGUGGAGGGUCAUUGGAAACUGGGGGACUUGAGUGCAGAAGAGGAAAGUGGAAUUCCAAGUGUAGCGGUGAAAUGCGUAGAGAUUUGGAGGAACACCAGUGGCGAAGGCGACUUUCUGGUCUGUAACUGACGCUGAGGCGCGAAAGCGUGGGGAGCAAACAGG
rnacentral:rRNA from 1 species